UGGGGAAUAUUGGACAAUGGGCGGAAGCCUGAUCCAGCAACGCCGCGUGAGGGAUGACGGCCUUCGGGUUGUAAACCUCUUUCACUACCGACGAAGUUCACACGUGGUGUGGGUGACGGUAGGUGGGGAAGAAGCACCGGCCAACUACGUGCCAGCAGCCGCGGUAAUACGUAGGGUGCGAGCGUUGUCCGGAAUUAUUGGGCGUAAAGGGCUCGUAGGCGGUUUGUCGCGUCGGGAGUGAAAUCCACUGGCUUAACUGGUGGCUUGCUUUCGAUACGGGCAGACUGGAGGUAUGCAGGGGAGAACGGAAUUCCUGGUGUAGCGGUGAAAUGCGCAGAUAUCAGGAGGAACACCGGUGGCGAAGGCGGUUCUCUGGGCAUGUCCUGACGCUGAGGAGCGAAAGUGUGGGGAGCGAACA
rnacentral:rRNA from 1 species